UACAGAGGUCCCAAGCGUUGUUCGGAUUCACUGGGCGUAAAGGGUGCGCAGGUGGGUUGGCAAGUUCGAUGUGAAAGCCCCGGGCUUAACCCGGGAAUGGCAUUGGAAACUGCUGAUCUGGAGGAUCGGAGGGGGGACUGGAAUUCUUGGUGUAGCAGUGAAAUGCGUAGAUAUCAAGAGGAACACCAGUGGCGAAGGCGAGUCCCUGGACGAUACCUGACACUGAGGCACGAAAGCCAGGGGAGCAAACGGG
rnacentral:rRNA from 1 species